GGAUAGAUAGAGCGUAAUUGGCUAGCGUCCCGGACUGUAAAUCCGGUGCCUUAACAGGUCUUGGGGGUUCAAGUCCCUCUCUGUCCACCA
rnacentral:tRNA from 1 species